AGAUUGAACGCUGGCGGCAUGCCUUACACAUGCAAGUCGAACGGCAGCACGGGAGCAAUCCUGGUGGCGAGUGGCGAACGGGUGAGUAAUAUAUCGGAACGUGCCCAGUCGUGGGGGAUAACGCAGCGAAAGCUGUGCUAAUACCGCAUACGAUCUAUGGAUGAAAGCGGGGGAUCGCAAGACCUCGCGCGAUUGGAGCGGCCGAUAUCAGAUUAGGUAGUUGGUGGGGUAAAGGCCCACCAAGCCGACGAUCUGUAGCUGGUCUGAGAGGACGACCAGCCACACUGGAACUGAGACACGGUCCAGACUCCUACGGGAGCAGCAGUGGGAAUUUGGACAAUGGGCGCAAGCCUGAUCCAGCAAUGCCGCGUGCUAGGAUGGAACGCCUUCGGGUUGUAAACUGUACGUUUUGAACGGUAACGUAACGGUUCUUUACUAAUACAGAGAGUACUAA
rnacentral:rRNA from 1 species